ACUCCUACGGGAGGCAGCAGUGGGGAAUUUUGGACAAUGGGCGAAAGCCUGAUCCAGCAAUGCCGCGUGAGUGAAGAAGGCCUUCGGGUUGUAAAGCUCUUUUGUCAGGGAAGAAACGGUGAAAGCUAAUAUCUUUUGCUAAUGACGGUACCUGAAGAAUAAGCACCGGCUAACUACGUGCCAGCAGCCGCGGUAAUACGUAGGGUGCAAGCGUUAAUCGGAAUUACUGGGCGUAAAGCGUGCGCAGGCGGUUUUGUAAGUCUGAUGUGAAAUCCCCGGGCUCAACCUGGGAAUUGCAUUGGAGACUGCAAGGCUAGAAUCUGGCAGAGGGGGGUAGAAUUCCACGUGUAGCAGUGAAAUGCGUAGAUAUGUGGAGGAACACCGAUGGCGAAGGCAGCCCCCUGGGUCAAGAUUGACGCUCAUGCACGAAAGCGUGGGGAGCAAACAGGAUUAGAAACCCCUGUAGUCCCAUG
rnacentral:rRNA from 1 species